rnacentral:piRNA from 1 species
CUAAAGUCCAAGUCCACUAGGAUAAAGUC